GACGAACGCUGGCGGCGUGCUUAACACAUGCAAGUCGAACGGAAAGGCCCUGCUUUUGUGGGGUGCUCGAUUGGCGAACGGGUGAGUAACACGUGAGUAACCUGCCCUUGACUUUGGGAUAACUUCAGGAAACUGGGGAUAUUACCGGAUAGGAGCUCCUGCUGCAUGUGGGUGGUUGGAAAGUUUCGGCGGUUGGGGAUGGACUCGCGGCUUAUCAGCUUGUUGGUGUGGUAGUGGCUUACCAAGGAUUUGACGGGUAGCCGGCCUGAGAGGGUGACCGGGCACAUUGGGACUGGGGUACGACCCAGAGUCAAACGGGAGGAAGGAGUGGGGAAUAGUGCAAAAUGGGCGGAGGCCUGAUGGAGGGACGCCGCGUGCGGGAUGACGGCCUUCGGGUUGUAAACCGCUUUCGACUGUGACGAAGCGUGAGUGACGGAAAUGGGCAAAGAAGCACCGGCUACCUACGU
rnacentral:rRNA from 1 species